CCUAACACAUGCAAGUCGAACGGUAACAGGAAACAGCUUGCUGUUUCGCUGACGAGUGGCGGACGGGUGAGUAAUGUCUGGGAAACUGCCUGAUGGAGGGGGAUAACUACUGGAAACGGUAGCUAAUACCGCAUAACGUCGCAAAACCAAAGAGGGGGACCUUCGGGCCUCUUGCCAUCGGAUGUGCCCAGAUGGGAUUAGCUAGUAGGUGGGGUAACGGCUCAUCUAGGCGACGAUCCCUAGCUGGUCUGAGAGGAUGACCAGCCACACUGGAACUGAGACACGGUCCAGACUCCUACGGGAGGCAGCAGUGGGGAAUAUUGCACAAUGGGCGCAAGCCUGAUGCAGCCAUGCCGCGUGUAUGAAGAAGGCCUCCG
rnacentral:rRNA from 1 species